rnacentral:misc_RNA from 1 species
UUGCAAGCUGUCAAAUAUCUUUUUCACUGUAGUUUCCCAUCUAUUAUAAGAUUAGCAUGCAUCCUUAAGGUGCUUUUUCAUGCUGACGCUUGACGCUAGUUUCUAGCGUAAAAUUUGGUCACGUGAUGAGAAUUUAACACUGCGCCAUCUAAGAAAAAUUGUAGCGAAAAAGCUAAACAUAGUUUAGCUUUUUUAACGGGUGAUAUAAGCGUCAGCGUAACUCGAACAGUGAUAUCGAUAAUCAAUAGUAAUCGAUCUUUAUAAAACAACAACAAUCAGCUGUUACUUUGUGAUGAUAUAAAAAAAAAAAAAAAAUAGCGAGUGUAAAAAUAAAUAAAAACAAAUACUUAAAAAUAGCACAUACAAUUUUAUUCAAAGUUGCCAGUUAUUAUAUUAAGUGCGGUGUGAAUAUUAAAACUAUUCACAAUGAGUUUUGAGGAAGUACGUGUUGUUUUUACAUGUGGCAUAUGUGAAAUGAUAUGUGAUGAUUACCAACACCAUCCAUGCCUAAAUGAUUAUGACGAUGUCCACUUAGACGAAAAUUAUUAUUUCUAUCCUCUCUUAGGUGAUAAAGAAACUAGUAUUCGACGAGCGAUUCUUCGAGACGGUAGGGAAGGACUGAUUGAAGAUUCCAUUUAUGGCAACAAAGAGAAUUGUUGUCAAAAUUCAUUUAAAUCUCCACCAGAAACUCAAAAAUCAACAAAGCGACGUAAUACGGCAGCAUCAAAAACAAGUAAAAAAAAAUUAAGUGACGAGGAGAUCGAACAUUUAAUUAUUGAGGUACAAAAUAGAAUUCCUUUGUGGAAUUUUAAUAUUUCACUAGCGGAAAGAACACGAGAAAUAACAGUUACGCUUUGGGAAGAAGUUUCUGCAGCAUUGAAUGGAAAAUGAAGUGCUACCGAAGCUAAAAAAAAAUUUAAAAGUUUACGUGACACCUACCGUAAACUUAUUCAUGCAGAACAUCGCGCUAGUGGUUCAGCUACAGUACCACCUGGAGACCCCUGGAAAUUUUAUCAUUGCUGCGAGUUUCUCCGAGUUUCUCAAUGCAAUGAGGAAAUUGCCAAUUUUUAUCAAAAUCACCUGCAAUUUUUAACCAGUCACGGGUUGUUAAAGGGUAAGGUAACACCUUCGGCUGAAGACAAUCCCAUAUAACUUGACAAGUUUCAGCAAUGAUAUUUGCGGUUGACGUCACACCAACGAGAUAAUGAUAUGAUAUAGAUGUCAUACAAUCUCCUGUCGCCAAAUAUCUAAAAAGUCAUAACAAGUCGAGCGGUAGCUGAAAUUGGUUCUCUCACAACGUUUUUUUUAGUUAUAUGUGGACCAAUUAAGCACAGCAAUUCUUCAAACUGAGAGGCAGACAUACGAAUGUAAUUUUCGAAUUUUUCAGGGAAUGAAGAAAGUGUUGGAAAUAGUGCUUCAAAACAUCCGUGUUCUCGUCGUAAUUUAUACAACGGAUUUACCCUAAAUCUUUUCUUUUUAUACUUAUUUUUUUUUUUUUUUGAAUAGCGAUAUCAUUUA